AUAUUACUUCCUCCGUCCGAAAAUACUUGUCAUCAAAAUGGAUAAAAUGGGAUGUAUCUAGACAUAUCUUAGUUCUAAAUACAUCUCUUUUUAUCCAUUUUGAUGACAAGUAUUUCCUGACGGAGGGAGUAUAAA
rfam:Triticum aestivum genome assembly, contig: Triticum_aestivum_CS42_TGACv1_scaffold_032216_1BL